rnacentral:rRNA from 1 species
UUAUAUGGCCAUACCACUCUGAACAAGCCUGAUCCUGUCUGAUCUCGGAAGCUAAGCAGGGUUGGGCCUGGUUAGUACUUGGAUGGGAGACUACCUAGGAAGACCAGGUGCCAUAGGCA